UACGGAAGGCAGCAGUGGGGAAUAUUGGACAAUGGGCGAAAGCCUGAUCCAGCCAUGCCGCAUGAGUGAAGAAGGCCUUCGGGUUGUAAAGCUCUUUUAGUGAGAAAGAUAAUGACGGUACUCACAGAAGAAGUCCUGGCUAACUCCGUGCCAGCAGCCGCGGUAAUACGGAGAGGGCUAGCGUUAUUCGGAAUUAUUGGGCGUAAAGAGCGCGUAGGCUGAUUAGUAAGUUAAAAGUGAAAUCCCAAAGCUUAACUUUGGAAUUGCUUUUUAAAACUGCUAGUCUAGAGAUUUGAAAGAGGAUAGAGGAAUUCCUAGUGUAGAGGUGAAAUUCGUAAAUAUUAGGAGGAACACCAGUGGCGAAGGCGUCUAUCUGGUUCAAAUCUGACGCUGAGGCGCGAAGGGCGUGGGGAGCAAACAGGGAUUAGAUACC
rnacentral:rRNA from 1 species